CAGGAAGGGUCCUUUUCCCUCUGCUCUUCCUCCCUCGGAGCAAUGUGAUCCACUGGCAAGGAAGGACGGCAAUAAGGCAUCUGAUAAGAGCCUCGUGAUUUCUACCCCACUUAACUUCAAAGGCAGGAGGGGUGGCCUGGUGUGCUGAGGUCCCACAACAGCAGCUUUUGCUUUGCUCUCUCUGUCUAGGCUGGGAGUUCUUCCCUGGCGAGAAACUGCUGGGGCCUCUUUGUGACAGAGCUAGGCGAAGCCUGGGACAGGUUUGUUUUCACAGCUGUCCUGAGAUCCAACCCCAGAGCUGUCCGCCCUACUCCUCACACACUCAGCUUGCUGGCAAAGUGAAAGACAGUGUAGAGUGUAAAUCUUGCUCUCCUACGUGUGUUCUGAGCUCCUGUGCCUCCCAGUCUCACCCAGGGGCCUCAGAAGUUGGUUUGCAGUGGGAAAGGUGACCACUUAGCAUAAUAGCCAGGCCUCCUGCCCCCUGGGGUGAGGGGCAAAUCAGCUCUGGUGUGUGCAGGUGUGCCUUGCUUUCUACAAUGAGGGCAUUGUCAGAACCUUAGACAGAUGGGACCACACACUGAUCAGGGCCAUCACCUCAUGUCAUGGGAGAGCAAACUGCUUGUCUCAUAAGUUCAGUGACAUAGAUGGGUUCCAAAGACUCCUCCUGCUGUGACGGCAUGUGAUUUUCGAAGAUGUAGAGACUUGAGAUUUUUGAAAUGCCCGGUGGGAACAGAGUUCUUCCUGUACCCCAGACAGUGCAAAGCACUUGUCUUUCUUUGGUCUUUAGAAUAGCCUUCGGAGUUGGGCAUUCUUUCCCUCAAUUCACUGAGAGAGGAAACAAAGUUACCAAAGCAACCACAGCUAGUAAGAAGCCGUCCAGGCAUUCUGGAGUUCCGAACUCCUCUCUGUGCGUGUGACCCCACUGGAGGCUGAGCUUUGGUCAUGUUCUAGGACCAAAAGGAAGCUGAUGAUGGGUGGCACUGGGCUCAUACUCCCUAUGAGAGUGUGAGGGAGCAGCCACUAGCAAUCUGGUUUGUGCACUGCUGCACUCUAGGGGGAUCUGGAGUCCACAGGGGCUAUGGGUUAGCAUGGCCUAGGUCACUGGUUAGCAUGGCCUAGAUCACUGGUUAGCAGUGGUAGCUUAGCAUGGCCUAGGUCACUGGUUAGCGGUGGUGGGUUAGCAUGGCCUAGGUCACUGGUUAGUGGCGGUGAGAGCUGAUGUGCUGCAUAGCAGAGCACUUUCUGAAAGCACAGCCAGCUUCUCACAGGAGAGGAGGUGAAGGGUUUCAGGUCAAAGAAUGCACACUGUUCCCAGAUCUUCCCUUGAGGGAACUUGGGCAACAUUUUGUCUUUAUUUCUCUGAAGCAGUCUUGCUGUAUCUGCUACUUAUUUUGUGAAUGUAGGCCAAAGGGUGCUUCCCCCUCCACUGUUUUUCUGACAAGCCUGCAGGCAGGCAAAGACUGGUUGCCCCUGGUGUUUGUCCACAUAUUUUUUUCUUUCUCUCUCCCUCUCUCCUACUUUCCUUCUUUUUCUCUGUUUCCCCCUCUCUCCUGGGACUCUGUACGGUGAAAGGACUGCAGUCAACACUUGUACUAACACCUCACAUAUGUCCCAGUCAUCUGGGAUAAGUGUCCUGAGUUCAGAUCCUUCAGGAAACAGGGGGGCAUGGAAGAAUACAGGAACCCAUUGGGCAAACACUGAACUGUAUUACUCCUCUCUAGAGGAUUUUUCUUUUUGAAACAGAGUUUCAUAAAGCCCGGAUCAGCCUCAAGCUCACUGUGUAGGUGGGGAUGACUUUGAACUCCUGAGCCUUCUGCCUGCAACCUCUAAGUGAUAGGAUGACAGAAAUGCACCAUCAUGUCUUGGUGUUGCAAAUUUUGGACAGUAGCCAUAGGCUUGAUGUCAAUGGAUAUUUUGGAUGGAUGUGUGAAAUCUCUUUGUUCUAUGAAUUGCCAAGCUAUAUUAGCCAAAUUUCCAUUUCUUUAACAAAAUACACAAUGCUGUUUUUGAUAAAGGAAAAGUUUUAUUUUUCUUGCAGUUCCCUAGGCUCAAGGACAUGCUGCCCUUUGCUCAGCUGUCAUGAAGGUCUGUAGGUGACAUGUCACAUCAGGGUGUGGAAGUUGGGAUUGUGUGGCGAGACAGGAAGCAGGGAAGUAGGGAGAGUCAGGCUCCCUCUUACAGCAAUGGGCUGUUCUGAGAACUUCUCAGGGUCCCAGGAGAGCCAUCUCCAUCCCUACUAACACAGGUGUACCUAAUAGCCCAUUAGAUUCCUAGUAGAGCACCUCUCUUAAAGGUCACACAACCUCUUAGCACUUACGAAUAGCACGCAAUCUCUUAGCACCUCUGGGGGAAUAAAUCAUACCCAACCCAUAGCAGCAACUAUUUAAGCAAAGUCCUCUUAAAGACUGAGUUUGAAAUUCUAUGCAUGUGUAUGUAUCUCUCUCUCUCUCUCUCUCUGUGUGUGUGUGUGUGUGUGUGCAGCACCAUAAGUGACCAGAAGAGGGCGAUGGUUUUCCUGCAUCUGAUUUUACAGAACAUGGCUUGCAGCCAUGUGGGAGCUGGGAAUUGACCUCAGGUCCUCUGCAAGAGUGGUAAGUGCAGAGUCAGCUCUCCAAUCUCCAAGCAAAAUCUUAAAAUGCUGUGUAACGUGCAUUCAAUACAACAAUUGGCUAGAAUCAUUCCCAGCUUUCCUUUUUUAGGGUUAGAACAUGUUAUGCCGGAAUAUUUAUGAACUUUGCUGUGUGUAUGUAUGUAGGUAUGUUGCCCUUGCUUUGGAAAUGAUUAGUGCUCCUGUGUUUGCUGAGAAGAGCUGUGUGGGACUUCAGUGUGGACUGAUAAGAUCAGGUUUCGGUGUUACUUUUUAAUAGUCAUGUAGCCUUGCUCUCACGAGUCUAUAAAAAACAGCUGUGUAGCCCUCUCUGCUCACGAGUCUCUUGGUUUGAUUUAAGAAUUUUCAUCUAUGAGAUGAAGCUGUUGGUGAGUGAAUCCUUAGGACUUCUACUUCCAAAAUUCCAUGCCCAUGGCUCGAGUUUAGUUCUAUCUUGUUUGUAUUUAACAUACCCAGACUUAGAUACUUACAAUUGCAGGCUUAUGCUGCACUGUGGAAACAUAAUUGGUUGUAAAUUAAAAAGAAGUCCCUGGAGGCUGCUUUUUUUCCAAUAGAUUUCCUAGAAGGAGAGGCUAAAUAAGGGUCACCCUAAAAUUAAAUGAGGCUAUGAUUUCUCAAUGGCAAAUACCACUGGGAAUUCCAUCUGAAAUCUGGGGGGAAUGGAUGGGAGGAUGGAAUCCAUGCUAACAAAGCGUGACAAGAAUGGCAAUGGUUCGGGGGAGACUGAACCCUUAGCCAUCGACUGCUGGGAAUGCAAAGUGGUGCAGUCACUUUAAAAAACUUGGUCAGUCCUUCAGAGUAUCAAGCACAAAGCAUUACAGCACAACCCAGCAAUUCUGUCCCUAGUGAGAGAUGUGUUUUUAGAAUGUGUUAUGCCCAAGGGUUUAUAUCAGCAUUGGUCACAGUGCCCCCAAAGUAGGAAGUCUCUAAGGUGUUUGAAUAGAUAAACUGUGGCUCAGUGUGGUGGUGGUGCACAUCUGUAAUCCCAACACACGAGAGGCUGUGGCAGGAUGGUGAAUUUGAGGUCAGCCUGAGGUAUACAGUGUGUGUGUGAGACUAGCCUCAGCUACACAGCAAGAUCCUGUUUCCAGAAAUACAAUAAAAUGAGGACUGCUGAGAUGGCUCAGUGGGCAAAAGCACUUGCUGCACACGUCUGAAGACGUGAUGUCAAUACCGGGACCCACUGCGGGAGAAAGCUGACUCCAAAAGCUGUCUUCCGGCAUCCUCGUGUGUGUUCUAGCAUGUAGAUGCCACUGUAUGAACACCGCACACACAACAAAAACAAUACAUACAAUAAAAUGAAACAAACCCCACAAAAGAGUGGCAUUCUUAUUGAAUAGAUUGUUCUUCCAUAAGGGAGUUCUGGACCAUGCUGCACUGUGGAUUAAUCCUGAAGACAUUGCGCUAAGUGAAAGAAGCUGGCCGGAACAGCACACGAUGGGGUUCUGUGGUCAGGGUAACAUAACAGCAAAGAAAAACAGGAUGGGUGACGCUCAAGGCUGGGGAGGGUGAAGGAAAUGAGUUACGUUGAAGGGAAUGACAUUUCUUUUCAUGGGGAUAAGCAUGUCCAGAAUGGUCUGUGUGGAUGUGUGUGCAGCUCUGCACACACACAGACCCCCACUGAAGCGUGGUCUUUUAGCGGCUGCACCGUAAGGUGUUUAACUAUGUCCCAACGAAGCUGUUUAAAAGAUAUACGAGGAUGAAAAAGAAAAUUUAAGAGAAGCAAGAGGUAAAUAGAAAGACGAAGGCUAGUGAGAAACAGGAAUAGGAGUGUUACCCACAAGGAACCUGGGCCCAUGGCUCAGGGAUGAGAAUACUUCCAGUUUAAAUCCCCAGCACCCACAUAAGGAGCCUGGCCGCCUGGCCGCCUGUAACCCAACACUGUGGGGAGUAGAGACAGAUGGCCCACCUGCCGACCGUGGGUUUGCAGCUGUCAGUUUAGCUCUAGGCUCAGGGAGACUCUGUCUCGAAGGAAUAAAGGUAGAGAGUGAUGGAACACGACACUCAGCAUCCUCCUCCUCUGGCUUCCAGGUGUGGGUGUACCCGUCAUGGCGCUUACCCCUAGGUGUUCACAUACCACACACACUCACGACUGUUUCAGUAGCAUAUAGAUUUAGAGGUACCCAGUUUAUUUCAAGAGCGGCCUUUAAUGAGGCAAAUUGUGACCAGGGCAAGUGAUGGUUAAUAAUGAGAAAUGGUGAUUUUCAUUCUUGGACGUGGGCCUAAGCACUAAGCUGUUUUAUUUUUUUCUGGGUAUUUUAAUGCAGUGUUUUGAAGCUCAAGCAGCCUGUUGGUCUGUUUUUCGGCUCCAUUUGUUUGUUGGCUGGUUUGAGUUACUGAUGAGGGUGCAUAUGGUGAGGGACACUCAUGACAUCAGUACUAGCAGAACUGCCAAAAUCCUGCCAAGUCCCGAUGACUUGCCCCAGGACUUGAAAAACCAAAAUUGCAAAAUAGCAAGAGUGGAGGACUUGCUAGUUGGCGUAAAGUUGGGAGGAAGUUUGUUCAAGUGCCAAAGGUGACAGCGUUCUGACAAGAAGCUGUUUAACUCGAUUGCAAAGACAACUUCGGUGGGGUUGAGCCCCAGGCCAUGUUUGUUAGGUUCUCUGGGAAGAGGGCUCAUGAGAGUCAGAGGUUGGGCAGGGAGAGAAUGGCAGCCCAUACUGGAUGGAGGGCUGCCUGCCUCAUCUUUGUGGGGAGGGGCUGUUCCCUGGGUCCUGACUGUUACUGAACAGAAGGAAGGGCAGUGUCUGCAAAGCAACCUGGGUUAUCAGAGGAAACUGAUCAUAAAGAUAUUUACAUAUUGAAAUAUUUUGCUGUUUUGUUUGUUUUUUAAGAUAGGGUCUCUCUGUGUAGCCCUGACUGUUCUGGAAGUCUCUUUGUAGACCCGGCUGGCCUUGAACUCACAGAGACCUACCUACCUUUGCCUCCCCGAGUGCUGAGGCUAAAGGCAUGCGCCACUACCACCCUGCAAAAUCUUCCCUUUAAAGUGUUGCCAUUUAUUCAGAAUUUAAAGAUUUAUUUAUUACUUUUAUUUUACGUGUAUGUGCGUAUGUGCUCGCUGUGCAUGCAGGUGUCUGUGGAGGCCAGAAUGGGACGUUCGAGCCCCUGGAACUGGAGUCACAGGUAGUUGUGAGCCCCCUCAGGUGGGUGUUAGGAACCAAACCCAGGUUUUGUGCAAGAGCAGCCAGUGCUCUUAACCACCGAGUCAUCUCCAGCUCCUCUAACCAGAAUUUGAAAUGCAACGACCUACAGCAAUUUAGGGAGCAAAUCAUUUUCGGAUCAUACUUGAUAAGAGAUUUGCAUCUGGACUAUAUAAAGAAUGCUUCUGGUUCAACAAUACUGAGAACACAAUGUAAGACAGCCGGAAUUUAAAAUUGGAGAAAGGGUCCGAAAAGACACAUCAUCCUGCGGAGACACAAAUGUAACAAGCACACUGGGAAAAAAAAAUGCUAAAUGACAUUAGUGUCGGGAAAAUAGAAUGAAAACCACAGUGAGAUACUACUUCAGAGCCACUAGCCUGGCCAGAAAAGAAAGGCCAUGGUGAGUGUGGUGAGGAUAGUGACCGGAGCCCUCCUGGGGAUGCUGGAAAUGUUCAUCCUUGCAAACAGAAUAGCAGUUCCUCAAAAGGUUGAGUGGGAUGAAUGGUCAUGUGACUCACACUUUACCUCCUAGCUGUCUAUUCAAAGCAAUCAAAAUAUAUGUGCAGAUAAAACGCUGCAAAUGAGUUUCAAUACUAACGUUGUUUAUUGUACUAGUUACUUUUGUAUUGGUGUGAUAAAACUGCAUGACCAGGGUAACUUGCAGAAGAGUUUAUUUGGGCUGAGGGUACCAGGGGGAAUGGGGUCCAUCAAGGCAGGGAAGUAGCAGGCCUGGUGGCUGGAGAAGCAAGCUGAGAGCUCACCUCUUAAACUGCAAGCGGGAAGCAGAGGGAAGGCACAGGGAACGGUGUGAGGCUUUGAAACCCUAAAGCCUGACCCCAGUGACCUAUUUCCUCUAUGGAGGACACACCUCCCACACCUAUCAAAACAGCUCCACCAGCUGGAUACUUAAUCAUUCAAGCAUCUGAGCUUUGGGGAACAUGCUUAUUCAAACCCCUAUAUUUAUGCACCCCCAAAGUGGGAGCAUCACAGAUGUCCCUUCACUGGUGAAGAUAAUCCCCUAUGGUUGAGAUAUUAUCUAGUGAAUUUAGAAGUUAAAAAGGAAUUAAGUACUGGUACAUGCUACAACAUGGAUAAACUUUGAAAUGCCACUUCAGGGUGUUCCCUGUCACCUCAAAGUCCAGCUCCAGGGGAUCUGAUGCCCUCUUCUGGCUUUCAAGGGCACUUGCACUCACAUAUGCACACCCCACACAGACACUCACAAUACAAGUAAAAAAAAAAAAAAAAAACAAAGCCAGGCCUGGUGGCACACACUUUUAAUCCCAGCACUUGGGAGAUAGAGGCAGGUAGAUCUUUGAGUUUGAGGCCAGCCUGGUCUACAGAGUGAGUUUCAAGACAGAACUACACAGAGAGACCCUGUUUUGAAAAAUUAAACAACAAACAAACAAAACCCCAAAAUGAAACAACAAAAACCCAAACAACAACCACCAAACCCCCAAAAAACAAGGUAAAGCAAAACAAAACCCCAAAAUCUUAAAGAUGAAAUAGUAAAUGAAAAGGGCUAGUCAAAAACUCUCAUGAUAUCCUAUAUCAUUUAUAUACAGUCCCUAGAUAAGAAAUAUACCCAGACAGAUUAGUGGUUUUCUAGGGUAUGGAAGAUGAGGGUAGAGGGUGGAAAGUGAAUUUAAAGAGUAUGGAUUUCUUUCUAAGAUGAAGAAAAUUGCCUGAAAUUGAUUGUGGUGAUGGCUGUGACUAUCCCAAACCCACUGAGCUGCGCACUGUAAACAGGCUAACUGUGUGGUAUGUGACUAUUUCCCCAAUAAAACUGUUACAAAAGAAUCCAGUGAACCACACAGAGCCUCUCUCCAAACUUUAGAUUCUCUUCACAGGUCUUGACAGCCGCACGGAAGGUCUGGGAGGGGGUCAAGGAGUAGACUCCUUGGGGAGUCUGGGAAGGAAGGGUUGUGCCUGCUUUCUAGCUAGCCCUCCUGUUAGUGGCAGAACCAGGACUGGAGAUGUCUCCUGACCUCCUCCUCUUGCUACAUUAACUCCAUCCACAGCCUGUGUUUAAGUGUAACCAGGAAGGGGCUGAGAAGCCACCAUCACCAACAGCUUGGACAUGCUCUCUUCCCUCCUGCUUGGCAAAGGCCUCCCUCUCUCCACUGGAAGGCUUCUUGAGAAGAUAAAGUACUGUAAAGAAGACCCCUUAAGGGAGAGACAGGCCACACAGUGCCCCUGGCCUUCCCCCCAGCAGCCUGGGAGGGUCUGUGUGCUCAGGAAAGCCCUGACUCUGUGUGUUUGUGAUUCAAUAACACUUAGCUCACCAAAAUGCUGUUUUCGCAAUAGUCAUUUGAUGUCCAAGAAACCCUGUGGGCCUCACAAGGUUUAAAAAAAAAAUUUUUUAUACUUGAACCAGAGAACUGAACUUUGCCAAGAGCAAAUGGAACUCAGAUAUCAAAAAGGUCUGAGUUCAGUUUUCACUGAAGACAAAGGGUGAGUGGGCUGUGAACCGAGCCAAAUGCGGCCCCUCCCACCCUCCAUUUACAGUACAUCGUUUUGGCAGACUCUCCCAUCCUGAACGUUGGCUUUCUUCUCCCAUUCCUCUCUAGGGUGUAACCAUAAGCUUAUCUUCCAGUUAAGUUUACGGAAAAAAAAAAGCAUAUUGUAUCAAUUUGUGAAGACCUCACCCAUCAUGGCUCCUAUAACUAUCAGUUUCAUCAGAGCACAUAGAAACGUGUGGAAAGGAAUAAAAAGCUUCCCAGAAGCGGUGUUUUCAUUUGGUCUACUGCAAGGAUGUCAUUUUCAAAGCCCCUUCAUGUGGGAGUUUAUUGAAGGAAUUUUGCCAUUGCCCCCAUCAAUACAUAGUCAGGAUAUUAACCUGUUAUCAACUCCAUUCCUGAAGAGUCACUAUUUAUCGGAAUGCCAAGGUUUGGAAGAUGCACGCUUCUCCCACUUUGUCUCCCAAAGAGAAAGACACAAUGGGGGUACUUACAUUUUCUUUCUUUCUUUCUUUCUUUCUUUCUUUCUUUCUUUCUUUCUUUUUCUUUCUUUCUUUCUUUCUUUUUUUCUUUCUUUCUUUUCUUUCUUCCUUCCUUCCUUCCUCCCUUCUUCCUUCCCUCCCUCACUCACUCCUUCCUUUCUUUCUCAGCAGCAAUGGAGACUGAACUCAGGGCUUUGUGCGUGUAGGACAAACACUUUACCAAAUGAGCUAAAUUCACAGUCUAUGUACAUGGGAGCAUGUGCCUCUGUGUGUGUGUGUGUGUGUGUGUGUGUGUGUGUGUGUGUAGGUCAGAGAACAACUAAGAAGGGUUCAACUUUUCUUUCCAACAGUUGGGCCCACAGAUCAAACUCAGGCUGUCUGGCUUUGAGGCAGAUUUCUUUACUCUAUGAACUAUCUCUCUAGCCAGAUAUAGGCAAAUAAAUAAAUAAAUAAAAAUAAAAUAGAAUAAAGAAACGAUUAACAAAACAACAAAGAAGAAAACAGGGAAAAGAAAAAUGGUUUCAGUUUCUGCCAGCCCAAGAUAAGCUCCAAGACACUAUAGAUUAUUUUGCUUUGAUUCUGAAGAAGCAUUUACACUAUAACAGUUUGUAUCUAAGUCUACAGUUAUGUAUUGUAAAAAAUGGGAUGUUAAUUUGUUUUAUAACCUCUUUCCAUUGUGUUAGUCCACAAUUAUUAAUAAAGCUUUAACUACUCCUACAUAAAAUCUGACUGUGCAAGUGAUUAUUUAAAUAAUUCAGUAUGGAGUCUUUUAAUCAGAAGUGACAGAAAACCCAUGUCAAAAUGACUUAAGAACAAAAGGGAAUGUUUUUGGCUGACAUCUGAAAGGUGUAAUGUGAGAUGUGGUCCAAGGCCCAGCAAGACUCAGGGCUCAGGUGCUGUUAGGCGGUCUGUUUCCUCUCUUCUGUCCUUGUUUCCUUCUGCUGCCUGUGUACCCUUGCAAGAUCACGGCAGAACCAUCGGCUCAGGAGUACAUUCUCUGCUGCUGCCUGGCAGAGGAGAGCGAGCAUGCAAACCUUACUGUGUUUCACCGGUCCCCUAGCAAACUCUGCACCUGUCAUUGCUGGUUUUUGCCUGGGUCACACAGUACUCCCUGAGAUUCAAAUAUCUCACUUGGACCACACAGACUGAAAACAAAAGAGGGAGGGCAGGAGUGACACUUGGGCUGUUGGGGACCAAAAAUUAUCGAUUAUAAAGUUGCUCGGAGUCCAAACCUCCGCUCCAUUUUCCAGGACCCUGAUUCUCCCAUUGUCUUUCAGAUGUUGGCUAAAUUGCCACGGGGUGGCUUGGCCUCAGUGGAGAGUGUCUCCUAGUUUGCGUAACUACAGACCUAGGCCCUAUCCUAUUCAAAGAACUUGCUUAUGUGCCUAGAGACUGUUUAGGUGCCUCUUGAAUUAAAAGAAUUACUUGAUAUCAGCUUUAUACGUGACAGUAGAUGCCUUCUGCGGUCACCCCCACUGAUGGAAAGCUAUUUAAGAGGAUGCUAGAAUAAACCGGAGACUGCAGUUUCCAGCAUGGACUGAGAGCCCUCCUGAAAUGACAAGAUGUCUGUCUGGUCUUUAUCCCUGUUGGGUAGCUAGGAGUUUCCCAAUCCAGCACUCCCUGACACAUAGAUGGCCCUGGGGCUAUUUGACUGGCUCUGAUCUCAGCCCCAGAGACUUCAGUCCGGAAUAGAUAGCCUCUGUAGCAUGGGACUGAUACAAGCCGGGCCCGACAUUGGACUCCAUGGUUAUCAGAGUGAAUGGUGGGUGGCCCAAACAACACUUGCAUUUGUAGAACUUGCUUUAUGUUAGUUUUCUAAGAACUUUUAUAACAGACUGACAUAAACUUCCAGCUCAAAACCCAGAAACUUACUGUCAUAAAGUUUUGGAAUCUGGACAUGUAAGAUCAAGGUAUCUAUGGGGAUCAUGUAAUUUUUUCCUCCAGGGGGAAUCUGGUCAUGCUUCUCUCUUGGCUUUGUGUGGCUCCUGGCAAUCUUUGUGCUUGGCUUGUAGAGUAUCACUCUGCUCUCCUCCUUCAUGUUCAGAUGGCAUCCUCCCUGCAGGCACUGAGAGUCCAGAUUGCUUUUAUAAUUAGUCAUAUUAGAGUAGGAACCUGUCUGUUUUGAAAGGAUUAUUACAGGCCCAAAUAAGAUCAGAGGAACUGAGAAUAGUCUAUGAUUUUGGGGGUGGGGUGGGAGUAGGCACAAUUCAAUUUACAAUGUUCUCAUGAACUUAUUGUUUCUAAGACCCAUCUGAUUUGUGCUCAGAUGCUACAACCGUUUGCUUCCCUCUUUCCACUAAGUAGGUUAGCAGUUUGGAUGAGGCUACUUCAAGGACCCCUUACCUAGAACCUGUUGUUUGUGUGUGUGAGCUAAGAACAUCUUAAUGCCAGAAUGUUCACUGUAAUUUUCAUCAUGUAUGAGCUCAAGGACUUUGGGCAAUGCACUCGACCUCCGAUAACCUCAGUCUUUGAAAACAGUAUAACGAAGCUGGGCGUUGGUGGCACACCCCUUUAAUCCCAGAACUCGGGAGGCAGAGGCAGG
rnacentral:lncRNA from 1 species